AAACAGAUAUAUUGAUAACAUUUUGAUUCUUCUUAAAAAUUCUUUAAUUACCAUAUUUUACAAUUUCAGUUGGGUACCAUUAAUAAGGAGCAGGCAAUGGGAAAGACUAAUGGAUGUCUUCAAAUAGUUAUGGUAAAGUAACAGGCUAUAUAGAAGAGAGAAUCGGCAACAUUAGCAUUGUUACCCAGGUUUGGGAGUUGCUGAGAGUUGGUUAGAUGGUAGGAAGCAAAAAUGGCCAGAUUUAUUUGUUGUCUGUUUCCCCUAUCAGAAUAUAAGUUCCCUGAGUUCUGGGUCUUUGUUUUGUUCAAGGGUGUAUUCCCAAUACCUAGACAGUGCUUUGUAAAUUAGUACAACUUCUAUGGACAACAGUAUGGAGAUUUUGCAAAGAACUAAAAAUAGAACUACUACUCGAUCUGGCAAUCCCACUACCAUGUGUCCACC
rnacentral:lncRNA from 1 species